AAACAUGUYUUAAUGAUAAAUAAUUUUAGGUCUGGUCUGCUCAAUGAAAUUUUAAAUAGCUGCAGAAUUUUAACUGUACAAAGGUAGCAUAAUCAAUAGUUUCUUAAUUAGAAGCUGGAAUGAAUGAUUUGAUAAGGUGAAUAUUGUCUCAAUUUUAAUAAUAUUAAAAAUUUUUUUUUUGUUAAAAAGCUAAAAUGAAUUUAAAAGACGAGAAGACCCUAUAGAUUUUUAUAAUUGAAGUAAAAUUUAUUUAAAUAAAUAAAUAAAAUUUUUUUGUAAAUUAUUUUAUUGGGGAAAUAAUUAAAUUUAAUUAAUUUUAAAAUUUUUAAAACAAUAAUAUUUGAUUUUUUGAUCUUGAAAUUUAAAUAAUUAGAAUAAAUUACCUUAGGGAUAACAGCGUAAUUUUUUUGGAGAGAUCAUAUUAAUAAAAAAGUUUGCGACCUCGAUGUUGAAUUAAGAUAAAAUUUUAAAGUAUAAUUUAAAAAAUUUUGGUCUGUUCGACCAUUAAAAUCUUACAUGAUCUGAGUUCAAACCGGAGA
rnacentral:rRNA from 1 species